rnacentral:rRNA from 1 species
AUUGAACGCUGGCGGAAUGCUUUACACAUGCAAGUCGAACGGCAGCACGGGGGCAACCCUGGUGGCGAGUGGCGAACGGGUGAGUAAUACAUCGGAACGUGCCCAGUCGUGGGGGAUAACGUAGCGAAAGUUACGCUAAUACCGCAUACGAUCUACGGAUGAAAGCGGGGGACCGUAAGGCCUCGCGCGAUUGGAGCGGCCGAUGUCAGAUUAGGUAGUUGGUGAGGUAAAGGCUCACCAAGCCGACGAUAUGUAGCUGGUCUGAGAGGACGACCAGCCACGCUGGGACUGAGACGCGGCCGAGACUCCUAAGGGGGGCAGCAGUGGGGAAUUUUGGACAAUGGGCGCAAGCCUGAUCCAGCCAUUCCGCGUGCAGGACGAAGGCCUUCUGGUUGUAAACUGCUUUUGUACAGAACGAAAAGGUUUCUACUAAUACUAGGAGCUCAUGACGGUACUGUAAGAAUAAGCACCGGCUAACUACGUGCCAGCCGCCGCCGUAA